rnacentral:rRNA from 1 species
UACGUAGGCAGCAAGCGUUGUUCGGAGUUACUGGGCGUAAAGGGUGUGUAGGCGGUUAUUUAAGUUUGGUGUGAAAUCUCCCGGCUCAACCGGGAGGGUGCGCCGAAUACUGAAUGACUUGGAGUGCGGGAGAGGAAAGUGGAAUUCCUGGUGUAGCGGUGAAAUGCGUAGAUAUCUGGAGGAACACCGGUGGCGAAGGCGGCAUCCUGGACCGGUAUUGACGCUGAGGCGCGAAAGCCAGGGGAGCAAACGGG